AGUCGAACGGUAAAGGUCUUUCGGGAUGCUGACGAGUGGCGAACGGGCGAGUAAUACAUCGGAACGUGCCUGGUAGUGGGGGAUAACUACUCGAAAGAGUGGCUAAUACCGCAUGAGAUCUAUGGAUGAAAGCAGGGGACCUUCGGGCCUUGUGCUACUAGAGCGGCCGAUGGCAGAUUAGGUAGUUGGUGGGAUAAAAGCUUACCAAGCCUACGAUCUGUAGCUGGUCUGAGAGGACGAUCAGCCACACUGGGACUGAGACACGGCCCAGACUCCUACGGGAGGCAGCAGUGGGGAAUUUUGGACAAUGGGCGCAAGCCUGAUCCAGCAAUGCCGCGUGCAGGAUGAAGGCCUUCGGGUUGUAAACUGCUUUUGUACGGAACGAAAAGUCUUGGGUUAAUACCCUGGGAUCAUGACGGUACCGUAAGAAUAAGCACCGGCUAACUACGUGCCAGCAGCCGCGGUAAUACGUAGGGUGCAAGCGUUAAUCGGAAUUACUGGGCGUAAAGCGUGCGCAGGCGGUUUUGUAAGACAGUGGUGAAAUCCCCGGGCUCAACCUGGGAACUGCCAUUGUGACUGCAAGGCUGGAGUGCGGCAGAGGGGGAUGGAAUUCCGCGUGUAGCAGUGAAAUGCGUAGAUAUGCGGAGGAACACCGAUGGCGAAGGCAACCCCCUGGGCCUGCACUGACCCUCAUGCACAAAAGCGCGGGGAGCAAACCGGAUUAAAUACCCUGGUAAGCCCACCCCUAAACAAUGUCAAUUGGUUGGUGGGAAUUUAUUUUCUC
rnacentral:rRNA from 1 species